rnacentral:rRNA from 1 species
AUUGAACGCUGGCGGCAGGCUUAACACAUGCAAGUCGAGCGAGCGGCGGACGGGUGAGUAAUGUCUGGGAAACUGCCUGAUGGAGGGGGAUAACUACUGGAAACGGUAGCUAAUACCGCAUACCAUCAGAUGUGCCCAGAUGGGAUUAGCGAGUAGGUGGGGUAAUGGCUCACCUAGGCGACGAUCCCUAGCUGGUCUGAGAGGAUGACCAGCCACACGUGAACUGAGACUCGGCCCAGACUCCUAAGGGAGGCAGCAGUGGGGAAGAUUGCACAAUGGGCGCAAGUCUGAUGGAGCAAUGCCGCGUGUGUGAAGAAGGACUUCGGGUUGUAAAGCACUUUCAGUUGGGAGGCGUUACCGGCAGAGGAAGCACCGGCUAACUCCGUGCCAGCCGCCGCGGUAAUAC